GCCUUAACUAAAAUUAAGCUGAGCACAGUUUACACAAACGUGGGGACCACAAUAGAGCAGAAGAUUUCCCCAUCCAGUAAGCCAGGUUCAAGAGCUACUUGCACAUCCCUGAGUUGAUCAAGGGCUUCUCAGGUGAAAGAUAUUGGGAACUGAGGAACCUUUGCUGAGCAGCUGUUGCUGAUGAGAUAGAGGUUAACUGUGAAGUGCUGACCAUAGAGAGUUGGUGCUGUGUGGUUACUGGCUCUGAGCCUGGCUGAGUUGGAUCCAUAUCCACUCUGUUUGCUGAUGUGCAAAUCAGCUGUGUUGGUUCUGAUGCAUUUUUGGCUGUUUAGGGAUGAAGCGACAAGUUUAGACAGAGGUGUGGUUUCCAAUGGCAAGACUGCUUUGUUCAUGGUGACAAUUGGGAGUGCUGUGGUGUGACAAGUAGGGAACAAGUGAUGUGAGAGCAAAAGGUCUUUGUCAAGCAGCUGUUCCCUGGACAGUAAGGCUUCUGGAAAACCACUGCACCAGUGUUACGGAAGCAUCAGCAUGGAGGGAGACUUGAGUCAUUUCAUGGGGGUCAACUGGAGCCCAGGAAUGCCUUUUCCUUUUGGCAAGACUUCUGCAGCCAUGUGUGUUUACUGUGGACCUCUAGCUGGAAAUGCAGAGAUGCCUGAUCUGAUUAUCUCUGCUUCUGCUUCUUUACGCUGCGCUGCAUGUGGUCUGCUUUUUACAACCCAGGAUUCACACAAUGAAUUUUUAGGGUUGAGUCAGACACUCAGCUUUGGCAACAGCUCUCUACAGUGUAAUAUUGGCAAGACUGCCACAACGUCUCGUGGAUCAAGCACAUCAGUUCUUUGCUUCAUCUUGAAGGAGUCUGUGAUGUCCUCUUCCACAAAUCUGAACGACAACUCACAUUGUUGUGUGCAUCUCAAGCCUUUACAUGUAAUGCUGCAUGCCCUACAUUUAGAGGCUCAUGCUCAUCUCCAAAGGAUGCUGCAAGUCUCGCUGAGAGCGGCCACACCUUCCUGCCCAAGUUGGGAGCAUGGUGAGCUCGUGCAGGAGAGCCAUAGGAAGCUGGUGGUGCAGAGGGACGUGCUGUGCAACAUGAACUUUCUGCCCAUGCACAAGCUUAGGAAACAAUUCACUGUAGUGUCUUUACAUCGCUACGUGAUGCAGAAGGAUCGCUCUUUGCCAGCUGCCAAAUCAAGUGUUGUUGUACAGUCUCUGCCUUCAGCAACAUCCUCAGUGUUCUGGCAGUGGGACCCUUGA
rnacentral:lncRNA from 1 species